AUUGAACGCUGGCGGCAUGCCUAACACAUGCAAGUCGAGCGAGCGGCUGGCGUGUGAGUAAUGCCUGGGAAUUGCCCAGUCGAGGGGUAUAACCGUUGGAAACGCCUGCUAAUACCACAUACUAUUGGCUUUCCCAUGUGGGAUUAGCUAGUUGGUGAUGUAAUGGCUCACCAAGGCGACGAUCCCUAGCUGGUCUGAGAGGAUGAUCAGCCACACUGGAACUGAGACACGGCCCAGACUCCUACGGGAGGCAGCAGUGGGGAAUAUUGCACAAUGGGGGAAACCCUGAUGCAGCCAUGCCGCGUGUGUGAAGAAGGCCUUCGGGUUGUAAAGCACUUUCAGCGAGGAGGCGGUACUCGCAGAAGAAGCACCGGCUAACUACGUGCCAGCAGCCGCGGUAAUAC
rnacentral:rRNA from 1 species